AUAAUUCCAUUGAACCUUUCUUUUUCUUCAUCUUUUUCCUUAACGAGCUCCUUGAUAACUAAGUUUAACUGUUCCAUUUGGUGCGGUACAUUCGGUUGCUAGACUGUCAUGACUUUGUUUUCACCGGUGUCGUCCAUCCAGACUUUAAAGAAUGUGACACUGAUUCUUCUAGUUGGAGAUUAACAAGUGACGUGGCGUGCCAUGUCGGCGCUGUUUCCUCUCAUCACUAAAAGUGAUCUGUUUAAUUACAAAACUUAAUAUCAGUAACCGAUAUAUGAAACUUAAACAUGUAACAUUUCAUGAUCAAAAUAAGCUUACCCUUUAUUUAGGGAAAGCAUGAGUGGUCCUUUGUAGUUUCCAUCAUCAUUGCAUACUAAAGUGCGCCCAAACGCCAUUGUUGAUACAGAAAGAAGCAGAGUGGAGAUUGGUUGUUCCAGAUGAGAAAUCAGAUGAAACUGAAUCACAUGGUCAAUGACAUCUUCAAGAGGAGCUGGGAUCAGCUCGAUUUGGCCUAUACGCAUAUCGAUAAUUAG
rnacentral:lncRNA from 1 species